UACAGAGGGUGCGAGCGUUAAUCGGAGUUACUGGGCGUAAAGGGCGCGUAGGCGGUUAUGUAAGUGAGAUGUGAAAACCCUGGGCUUAACCUAGGACGUGCAUCUCAAACUGUAUAGCUGGAGUAUUGUAGAGGGUAGUGGAAUUUCCGGUGUAGCGGUGAAAUGCGUAGAGAUCGGAAGGAACACCAGUGGCGAAGGCGGCUACCUGGACAAAUACUGACGCUGAGGCGCGAGAGCGUGGGGAGCAAACAGG
rnacentral:rRNA from 1 species